ensembl:lncRNA
AUUAUCCGUAGUGUAGGACGUGCAUGAGCUGCCAAACCACACCACCGGAUAUAUAUAUAUAUAUAUAUAUAUAUAUAUAUAUAUAUAUAUAUAUAUAAAUAAUGUGUAUAUAUAAAACCACACAAAGUGGGUUUUGUUGUAUUUUCUAUUCCGUUGUCUUGGAGUCCACUCUAUGACAACGGAAUGGAACGGAAUGGAAUGGAAUGGAAUCUUCAAGGCCAAGUUCCAGAACAAAUUAGAUUCAUCUGUUCAUUGCGAUUCUGACCACAAGACAGA